AAAAAACUUAGGAAGUGUUUGGUAUAAGAUUAAAAAAAUCAGUAGCAUUUCGUGCAAGGUUAAAAAGGGGUAAUUAUUAACCUUGUAAAUUUUAACUUCUCAUUAAUUAUUUUUUACUCAUUAACAAAUACUACUUUAAAAUUUAUAAUAGUAAGUAUUUGGUAUAAGGUUAAAAAAUUAAAAGUUAAGUAUUACUCUUGUAAAUUUUAAAGGACUAAUUGUUAAGAGGUAAAAAAUAUUUAAUGUUGUAAUAAUUAAUAUUGGUUGGUAGGACGUUAAAAAAAAAAAACUUAAAUGAAUUAUAGUGUUACUCCAUUUGGCUGUGUUUUUUCUCUAAAAGUCUCUUUACAUUCCUUGUUUAACAAUACUAUUUUGUGU
rnacentral:misc_RNA from 1 species